rnacentral:lncRNA from 1 species
GCUCCGGCCUCCCCGGGCCCAGUCCCGCUCCGCCGCCUCCGGCGGGCAGCGGGCCCCGGGCACUCACCGGCUUCCAGGGCCGUCCCGAGGCUUCGGCCUGGGGAGAAAGAGGGGCGGGCCCGUCAGGAAAGCCCCGCCCAUACGAGCGCAGCAGGGGCCAAUCGGCGCCCGCUGCGACAAGCUACGGCCCCGCCCGUGGGGGACGCGCCCGCCAAUCAAGAGGAGCGGCUGGUGGACCGGACCAAUCAGAAGUUGUCGGAGUGUGCCAGCCGUGGGAAAAGAACGGCGCCGGAGUGCGGAGCCAGGCGGCGCGGUCGUGGGCAGGACCCAGGCCUGACGGGCAGGGAAAGCGUCCAAUGGCGAGCUUUGGGGGGCGGCCGGGGGCGGGAGGCCCAAGGGACACGGGUGAAUGCGCCGCUUUGUGCGCGAGGCAUGAAUGAGGGCCUUUGUGAGGGCCGGCGUGGGGGGGCGGCUGGAGGCCGGAAUGCCUGGGUCCCCCGGGAGCCGGCGGGCAGGAGAGGCAGAAGAGAGAAUUCACUUUUGUCGAACGCCGACCGCGUACCAGGCACUCUCCCAGACUCACCCACCGGGGAGCUUGGAGCCUUUAGAGGACAAGUCUUGGGUUUGAGCAACAUUCCUCAUACCAGUAGCUCCACAAAGGGUCAGAGUCUGACUCACUGGGUCCCUGGGAUCUCCCAGCACAGGAUCUGGAACACAGGAUGCCUCACAGAAAGAUUGUUGGCUAAGAAAAAUGAAUGGAUAUAUGGCCUGUCACCUGGUGAGUUCCUACUCAUACUUCAAACCCCAACUUGAAAAUUCCCUCUGAGUAGACUUCUCUGACUCCUCCUGGCUGGCCAGAUAGCAACUAAUUAACAUUUUAACUAGCAAUUAAUAUUUUUAUGAUACUUGUUAUAUCCUAGGCAUCCCAAAUGCUCUCUUAUGCAUAUAGGUUGCAUUGUUUAACUCCCAACCAGCAUCUAGAGUCAGAUUUGAUUAUUUCUUUUUUUUUUUAGAUUUUUUUUUUAUUCAUGAG